AACGAACGCUGGCGGCAGGCUUAAUACAUGCAAGUCGAGCGAUCGUGAGCAAUCACGGGAGCGGCAGACGGGUGAGUAACGCGUGGGAACAUACCCUUCGGUUCGGAAUAGCUCAGGGAAACUUGGAUUAAUACCGGAUACGUCCGCGAGGAGAAAGAUUUAUCGCCGAGGGAUUGGCCCGCGUCUGAUUAGCUAGUUGGUGAGGUAACGGCCCACCAAGGCGACGAUCAGUAGCUGGUCUGAGAGGAUGAUCAGCCACAUUGGGACUGAGACACGGCCCAAACUCCUACGGGAGGCAGCAGUAGGGAAUAUUGGACAAUGGGCGCAAGCCUGAUCCAGCCAUGCCGCGUGAGUGAUGAAGGCCUUAGGGUUGUAAAGCUCUUUCGCCAGGGAC
rnacentral:rRNA from 1 species